CCCAGGAAUGUCUAUUGGGAUCUCAAGGCUGCAGACUCUGGAAAAACCCACCCUUGGUUAAUCAGUAAUCAGAAGGAACUUCUUGCUUGCACUUUGGAUACUGUU